ACGUGUGAAAUUUGGUGAAGAAGAUAAAGUUAUUGAACAUUUCUUGGUUAUGGUUUCUGAGGCAAGAUCUUCUGUUAGGAAUUUAAGUCGAUCAAUGACAUUUCAGUUAAGACAAAUUGGUGGUAAAGUAUAUGAUCGUAUUGCAUUACUUCUUCAACCAUACGAUAUUAAGGUUUCAAUUUCAAGAAAUCCAAGAGGGUAUAUGAUCGAAUUGCAUUACUUCUACAACCAUACGAUAUUAAGGUUUCAAUUUCAAGAAAUCCAAGAGGGUUAAUUGUAUAUCUUGAAGCUUUAUUAAACAAAGCUUGUUAUGAGGAUUUUGAGUCAAUUGGAUUUCAAAAAGGUUCUUGUAAUCAAAUCUUGAACCCCAUUGAUCGUUGUGAAGCAAAUUUUGGUUUGUACAAUCGUUUGAAGGAU
rnacentral:lncRNA from 1 species